UGUUGAAGGUGGAGGAUCGCCUGAUGAUGCCGUGCACCUGGUAGCCUUUCUCCAGCAGCAGCUCAGCCAGGUACGAGCCAUCCUGCAACAGUCAGGAAGUGCCAACAACCAUCACCCGUGCUAUGACAGGUAGCAUGCUGUAAGAAAAAAUCCACAUAAUUUUUGUGGCACUUUGCUGCCAGGGUUUUUGUGGUGAUGUAUACAGUUAUAACUAACUAAUGUUGGCUGCUGCCUGAUUAAGUUCCUGUGCCACAUGGAUAAUAAUAAAUGAAGAAAGUAGACACCACAGCAUCCUCCCCACAGCCAUCUUACUGAAGUCAUCAUGGAAGAUACUGAAGACACCAGAAGUGGUUCUAACUUGAGAUAUGAAAGCCUGCAGACCACAAAUAAUUCUUCUCAAAGAGGUCAGUACUUGCAGCUCAGUACUCAUACAGUUAAACUCAUACACCUCAGCACUCAUAACUCAGUUCUCAUGCAGCUCAGUACUCAUACAACCCAUUACUCAUAACUCAGUACUCAUACACCCCAAUACUCAUAACUCAGUACUCAUACACCCCAGUUCUCAUAACUCAGUACUCAUACACCCCAGUACUCAUAACUCAAUACUCAUACAGCUUAGUACUCAUAC